rnacentral:sRNA from 1 species
UAUGAGUUAGGGAUUGCAGCGACAUCCUUUUGCUUUUUCGGCAAAAGAUAUAGCGGAAAGCCCGCCCACGC